rnacentral:rRNA from 1 species
CCUACGGGAGGCAGCAGUGAGGAAUAUUGGUCAAUGGUCGAGAGCCUGAACCAGCCAAGUCGCGUGCGGGAGUACUGCCCUAUGGGUUGUAAACCUCUUUUGUCGGGGAGCAAAAUCCGGCCGUUUCCGGCUGUUAUAGUACCCGCAUAAAAAGCAUCGGCUAACUCCGUCCCAGCAGCCGCGGUUAUACGGAGGAUGCGAGCGUUAUCCGGGUUUUUGGGGUUUUAAGGGUGCGUAGGCGGACGGUUAAGGCAGCGGUAAAAGCCCGGGGUUCAACCCCGGCGAGCCGUUGAAACUGGCGGGCUUGAGAGGGCGGGAGGUAGGCGGAAUGCGCAGUGUAGCGGUGAAAUGCUUAGAUAUUGCGCAGAACUCCGAUUGCGAAGGCAGCAUACGGGAGGCGAUCUGACGCUGAAGCACGAAGGCGUGGGUAUCGAACAGGAUUAGAUACCCUUGUAGUC